CGAAUUGCGAUAUGUAAUGUGAAUUGCAGAAUUCAGUGAAUCAUCGAAUCUUUGAGCGCACCUUGCA
rnacentral:rRNA from 1 species